rnacentral:rRNA from 1 species
UUUAAACUGAAGAGUUUGAUCAUGGCUCAGAUUGAACGCUGGCGGUAUGCUUAACACAUGCAAGUCGAACGGUAACAGGCAAAGCUUGCUUUGCGCUGACGAGUGGCGGACGGGUGAGUAACGCGUGAGAAUCUGCCUACUAGCGGGGGAUAGCCCGGUGAAAACCGGAUUAAUACCGCAUACGCCCUACGGGGGAAAGCUUGGGAUCUUCGGACCUGGCACUAGUAGAUGAGCUCGCGUGAGAUUAGCUUGUUGGUGGGGUAAUGGCCUACCAAGGCAACGAUCUCUAGCUGGUCUGAGAGGACGAUCAGCCACACUGGGACUGAGACACGGCCCAGACUCCUACGGGAGGCAGCAGUGGGG